CCGUUAUAUGACUGUAUUGAAAUGUUAGUGUAAUAGUGUUCAUACUACUUCAACAUAUAAAUAUACCACGUAGAUGCUGUAUGCGUGCUUGUAGAGGCAAUUAUACUGCUCAGGAGAGAGUCAGUACAUUCCAUUUCCCUCGUGAUGAAGAUGCAAGGAGAGAAUGGAUAAGAGCAGUUCAACAUGAUAAUUUUACCCCUUCAGAUCACUAUGUGGUUUGUGAGCUGCACUUCCAUGCACACGAUAGAGAAAGAACUACAUCAGCAUAUGAGCUAAGACUGGAAGAUUAAUUACAACACCUCUUGACCGUCGACGUCUAAGGAAAGGUGCAAUAGCAGCACUAUUGCCAGGAUGUCCUGAAUAUUUAUCUACACCGUCAGCAUCAAGAGAACAUCCUGAAGAUCGAAGACAGCGUUUGAAAAAUGCUUUCGUCAGAUCUGCGCUGAAAGAAGGUUUGAAU